UUAUGGCUCAGGACGAACGCUGGCGGCGUGCCUAACACAUGCAAGUCGAGCGAGGAGAUCCUCGGGAUGAUCCUAGCGGCGGACGGGUGAGUAACACGUGGGCAACCUGCCUCAUAGAGAGGAAUAGCCUUCCGAAAGGGAGAUUAAUACCUCAUAACAUUGCAGUUUCGCAUGGAACAGCAAUUAAAGGAGCAAUCCGCUAUGAGAUGGGGCCCGCGGCGCAUUAGCUAGUUGGUGAGGUAACGGCUCACCAAGGCGACGAUGCGUAGCCGACCUGAGAGGGUGAUCGGCCACAUUGGGACUGAGACACGGCCCAGACUCCUACGGGAGGCAGCAGUGGGGAAUAUUGCACAAUGGGGGAAACCCUGAUGCCAGCAACGCCGCGUGAGUGAUGACGGCCUUCGGGUUGUAAAGCUCUGUCUUCAGGGACGAUAAUGACGGUACCUGAGGAGGAAGCCACGGCUAACUACGUGCCAGCCGCCGC
rnacentral:rRNA from 1 species